CUGACCUUGUGAUCCACUGGCCUCGACCUCCAAACAUGCUGGGAUUACGGGCGUGAGCCACUGCGCCCGGCUCAAGUGCUACUUUUAAAGCUAAAAGCCACACAUAACAUGCUAGCACACACUGACACACUCUCAUAUCCUUGCUUUAUGGAAGGCAACUCUAAUGAUAGUGCUUGCUAAAUAGAAGUACAGGACAUUUGCUGUGACUGCCAUGAUUUAGAGCCAGACACUGCAAAUUACAUCCUCCAUCUCUCAUGAGUCCUGUUCUUCCUUCCCAGGACUUUGAUCAGAAAGCGCACCCACUGCUGAGUGCUGAAUGCUGAAGAGAUGGCCUUGGCCCUGGCAUUAGGCAUCCUUGGCUUGAAACUCACUUCUGCUGCUUGUCACCUGUGUGAACUUGAGCAGUUCUGGAGGCUGAAAAGUCCAACAUCAAGGCGCCAGCAGAUUCAGUGUCUGAUAGUUGUCGCUUACCAUUGGAAUAACCAGGAAACUUCAAAAGAAGGUGUGAUCUGAGCUUUCCUGAAAGACAGUAUCUGGCAACCACAAAGGACCCAAAGCACACUGCUGACAACUCUUGAGACCCUCUGAGGAAUGAGAAGAGCUACCGUGUCAUGAGGAUAUCUGGGCAGCCAUUGGAGAGAGUUCCAUGGCCAAGGAACUGAGGUCAGCCUGCAAAAACCUGACUAAGUUUGGAUCUUACUGUGAUUUCCAAUUUACUGUGACUGCCAACAGUCACAUGAUGGAGCUUGCAUAUAAAUUCUCCAACCCUAGUUGAGCCUUGAGAUAAGCCCUGGGUGACACCUAACUGCAAUCUCAAGAGUGACUUUCAGCCAGAGAAACGUGUGAGAGUUCUAGUUGCUCCACAUCUUCACCAACACAUGGUGCUGCUGGUGGCUGUGCCCUGCAGGAGCUGUGCUCUGGAGAAGAUGAGAGACCUGUAGAAGCCUGGUGCUGGGCACACUGCCCACACAUCAGGAACUCACUUCUAAGGAAGCCAUGCACAUCAUGAGCAUACCAGAAGAGAAGGAAAAACUCCUCGCUCUUCCAGAACGUGAUGGACCUGGCAGCUCCACUGAUCACAGCACAUUCGACAGUUGGGUCCAGUGUCCCCUAUGUCUGGAAGUUGGAGCAGACCCUCUCACACUCUGGGAGCCCACAUGGAAGCAGCUGUGCAGCACCUGUCUCCCUCCCUGCUUCUGUGGCACCCCCCGCAUGAGUGUUAUUGGUGGAACCCCGAGCACUGCUCCUCCCUACAGGAGUAAAGAUCCAAUUUAAAUUUUAAAAAGCUAUACUCCUUACUAAUAGUCCAAACACCAUUCCACUGGCAGUUUAAGCAAAUGCCAUGUGUGAGAUUUAUCGAAGAAACAGCAUUGCAAGCAUAUUUAUAUUGAAGGAAGCACUGAAGAAGACAGGAACAAUAAUUAAGAAAAAAAAAGAGUACUGGGGUUCAAGGCAUCCUGACAGAGCUCCUUGCCCUGUAAUUUCAUGUGGAUCCUUCCUGGGAGUGACUUCAGAUUCUGACUUCCUUUAUUCCUAAAAUCCCAAUUUGUCAAGUCACACUUCCUCUUUAAAUAAAAUACUGAUUUCGUUCAUAGUUUUAAAUUUUAAAUUUUUUACCCACAGGAAGAUGAGAAGUAUAACUUUUGUCCAGUAACUGACUAGCUUUGUACUUCUACGUCAAAGGUAUUUUUAGUGUUAUACCACCCCAGACGCUGUUCCAACAUUAAAAUGGUACUUAGGUUAAAUUGGGAAGACUGUGCCCUUUGACCAAAUGUGCUUUUGGCAUUAUUCCUAUGAAAAUUUAUAACAAUUUUAUGUGUAAAAGCAGAGGAAAUAAUAUAAUGAAUUACUAUAAAAUUAUCACUUUAAUUUUAGAAUAGUUAAUAUUUCAUCAUGUUUCAUCUAUGUUCCCCUUUGCUGAAGUAUUUUAAAACUAGUCCCAGACAUCAUGACACUUAACGUUUAAAUACAUCACUGUACAUCUCAAAAACAUAAGGAUAUUUUCUUAUAUAAUCAUAAUACUAUCAUCAUACCUAACAAAAUUAACAACAUAAUUCUUUUACAAUAUCUGAUACCCUAUCCACAUUCAAGUUUUCUAAAAUAUCCCUAAGAUGUGU